GAAAUGCGAUACGUAAUGUGAAUUGCAAAUUCAGUGAAUCAUCGAGUCUUUGAACGCACAUUGCGCCCCCUGGUAUUCCGGGGGGCAUGCCUGUCCGAGCGUCAUUUCUGCCCUCAAGCACGGCUUGCGUGUUGGGCCCCGUCCUCCGAUCCCGGGGGACGGGCCCGAAAGGCAGCGGCGGCACCGCGUCCGGUCCUCGAGCGUAUGGGGCUUUGUCACCCGCUCUGUAGGCCCGGCCGGCGCUUGCCGAUCAACCCAAAUUUUUAUCCAGGUUGACCUCGGAUCAGGUAGGGAUACCCGCUGAACUUAAGC
rnacentral:misc_RNA from 1 species